UAUAGAUAUUUAAUUAUAGUUUGUCAUUCUAUAAUACUCAAUUUAUUAUCCGCUGAGAUCUAUAU
rnacentral:tRNA from 1 species